AACGAACGCUGGCGGCAGGCCUAACACAUGCAAGUCGAACGAGACCUUCGGGUCUAGCGGCGCACGGGUGAGUAACGCGUGGGAACGUGCCCUUGGGUUCGGAAUAACAGCUGGAAACGAGGGCUAAUACCGGAUACUGCCGUAGGUGGAAAGAUUUAUCGCCGAGGGAUGAGCCCGCGUAGGAUUAGCUAGUUGGUGGGGUAAAGGCCUACCAAGGCGACGAUCCUUAGCUGGUCUGAGAGGAUGAUCAGCCACACUGGGACUGAGACACGGCCCAGACUCCUACGGGAGGCAGCAGUGGGGAAUAUUGGACAAUGGGCGAAAGCCUGAUCCAGCAAUGCCGCGUGAGUGAUGAAGGCCUUAGGGUUGUAAAGCUCUUUUACCUGGGAUGAUAAUGACAGUACCAGCAGAAGAAGCCCCGGCUAACUCCGUG
rnacentral:rRNA from 1 species